rnacentral:rRNA from 1 species
CCUACGGUGCGUCAGCAGUGAGGAAUAUUGGUCAAUGGACGCAAGUCUGAACCAGCAAUGCCGCGUGCAGGAAGACGGCUCUAUGAGUUGUAAACUGCUUUUGUACGAGGGUAAACGCAGACACGCGUAUCUGUCUGAAAGUAUCGUACGAAUAAGGAUCGGCUAACUCCGGGCCAGCAGCCACGGUAAUACGGAGGAUUCAAGCGUUAUCCGGAUUUAUUGGGUUUCAAGGGUGCGUAGGCGGUCGGAUAAGUUAGAGGUGAAAUCCCGAGGCUCAACUUCGGAAUUGCCUCUGAUACUGUUCGGCUAGAGAGUAGUUGCGGUAGGCGGAAUGUAUGGUGUAGCGGUGAAAUGCUUAGAGAUCAUACAGAACACCGAUUGCGAAGGCAGCUUACCAAGCUACUUCUGACGUUGAGGCACGAAAGCGUGGGGAGCAAACAGGAUUAGAUACCCUAGUAGUC